AACGCACGAGACCUGCGGACCUGCGGAAGGAUCAUUACCGAGUUUACAACUCCCAAACCCCUGUGAACAUACCACUCGUUGCCUCGGCGGAUCACCGCGCCCCGUGAAACGGGCCGGCCCGCCAGAGGACCUAAACUCAAAUGUUUUAUUGUAUCUUCUGAGUAAAAACACAAAUAAAUCAAAACUUUUAGCAACGGAUCUCU
rnacentral:misc_RNA from 1 species